UGGCGGCCGCGGGAAUUCGAUUGUGGCAGGGGCGGCGGUAAUACGAAGGGUGCAAGCGUUAAUCGGAAUUACUGGGCGUAAAGGGUGCGUAGGCGGUUUGUUAAGUCUGUCGUGAAAUCCCCGGGCUCAACCUGGGAAUGGCGAUGGAUACUGGCAGGCUAGAGUGUGUCAGAGGAUGGUGGAAUUUCCGGUGUAGCGGUGAAAUGCGUAGAGAUCGGAAGGAACAUCAGUGGCGAAGGCGGCCAUCUGGGACAACACUGACGCUGAAGCACGAAAGCGUGGGGAGCAAACAGGAUUAGAUACCCUGGUAGUCCACGCCCUAAACGAUGCGAACUGGAUGUUGGUCUCAACUCGGAGAUCAGUGUCGAAGCUAACGCGUUAAGUUCGCCGCCUGGGGAGUACGGUCGCAAGACUGAAACUCAAAGGAAUUGACGGGGGCCCGCACAAGCGGUGGAGUAUGUGGUUUAAUUCGAUGCAACGCGAAGAACCUUACCUGGCCUUGACAUGUCCGGAAUCCUGCAGAGAUGCGGGAGCGCCUUCGGGAAUCGGAACACAGGUGCUGCAUGGCUGUCGUCAGCUCGUGUCGUGAGAUGUUGGGUUAAGUCCCGCAACGAGCGCAACCCUUGUCCUUAGUUGCCAGCACGUAAUGGUGGGAACUCUAAGGAGACUGCCGGUGACAAACCGGAGGAAGGUGGGGAUGACGUCAAGUCCUCAUGGCCCUUACGGCCAGGGCUACACACGUACUACAAUGGUCGGUACAGAGGGUUGCAAUACCGCGAGGUGGAGCCAAUCCCAGAAAGCCGAUCCCAGUCCGGAUCGAAGUCUGCAACUCGACUUCGUGAAGUCGGAAUCGCUAGUAAUCGCGGAUCAGCUAUGCCGCGGUGAAUACGUUCCCGGGCCUUGUACACACCGCCCGUCACACCAUGGGAGUGAGUUGCUCCAGAAGCCGUUAGUCUAACCGCAAGGGGGACGACGACCACGGAGUGGUUCAUGACUGGGGUGAAGUCGUAACAAGGUAACCAAUCACUAGUGAAUUC
rnacentral:rRNA from 1 species